UUUGACGAACGCAACAGAGUGCUGUCUAUAGUACCAAUAAGAUGUUGUGAGCAAAGUGGCAACAACAUUUGUAAGUCAUCGUGAUUAGAAAGUGAACAGUGUUCUUUAAAACCGUCUGAUUUUGCACAGAUGGACCAGUUUGGUUGGAGUGAUAUACGUUACCGAAUGCUUUAUAUCAUGCGUUAUCACAGAUUGAUGAUCAAGGAUCCUCAAUUGGCCAAGAAGGAGGCACUUGAGGAGGAAGGAAAAUCGAAACGGUUAGAGCGAGUAAAACUGCGUUAUCAGCGUCAUAAGUGGAGACAGCGGCCGUGGUAUAUGAGAGUACGAGGAUAUUGGAAAUAUUUUCUCCUUCAAGGAGAAGAGUACAAAGCUUAUAUCUAAAAAAGAUGGAGCGAUUGGGCACAUAAUUAGAGGUCUUGUUGGUGCUGUUGGAGCUGCUGCUGCAGUUUCACUAAUAUAUACACAACGACCAUAUAUCAUCAGAAAAUGCGAUGGACAUCGGGGUUGUUACAGAAGAAGGGGAAUCAGAUGUACAGCAUCGUCUUAACGUCGAAGAGCUUAUGAAAUUAUUGAGACUGCUUUGAAAGGAACCCGAAAAGCUUUGUUUGAAUUAACUCGUCAGUAUAGGAAACGUUAUAGUAAUAAGUGUCAAAAAGAGAACCCAUACUACCCAUACAUGGUGAUUCGUAGAAGGUAUAAGGGGCAAACGGGAUAGAACGGACAGAAGGCGAACAUUGUCAAGCGAGCGUUAAUAUUAAAUUUGUCACAAUAACAACAUAUUUUAAUCAAAAGAUUUUUUUAAAGACUGUAUUAUCAAACGAUAGAUAUUAUGUUUGUAGAGCCAAGUAUGAACUGGAGGGAAUGAUUCAACUAAUAAGUAUAUAGCACUUUAUAAUCGAGCUCGUCUGCGUUGUACUUUUUUUUACCUCCGCGGCAUGUACCUACAUUGGAAGAUCCAGUUUUAAAAUCGCUUAAUUUUGCACAUACGAAAUGUAAGAAUAAUGAGCAGUAUCAGCGUUAUUUUAGUACAUCGUUUUCAGAACUAGCUAAGCCUAAGGAUGGUAUGGAAAUAUCUCAAUUUAAUUCGAAGUACCUUUCGAUGUCUCAUUCAAAAACUUUCCUUACUCGUUCCAUACGGCCCGUAUAUCUACAGUGGGAAAAGGAAGUUUCAGAAAUGAUCGUUCAUCGACUCCUUGGCUUAACCUUGAUUAUCAAGAUGAUCGAUUUUCUAAUUCCCCGGAUUAUCAUUUGUUAUGUUUCUUGUAGCCGCCGCAUAAUGUUGGAGUAUACACGCAAUCAGAUGCUGUUCGAAGUAAAACUUACGAAGCGGGAGAACCGAAAGAAAUUAAAUUUACAUUAUGAAAUACUGAUAACAAAUAUGUUAUCGAUAGAGAAUGGUCAACAAUCAAAAGCAGUUAUCGUCAACUUGGCCUUAAGUACAAUUAAAAACGCUUACUGGAUACAAAUGGGUCAUUGAUCACUUCAUGGAAGAAUAAAAAAAUAUUAGGAAUUAGUUCCUUUACAUCGAUCAAAUGUUGAGACGCAGUCCUUUGAAUUUUAUGACUUUUU